ACACUGCUGAGGAGUCCCAUACUAGGACGCAACGGCCGUCCAGUGC
rnacentral:hammerhead_ribozyme from 1 species